rnacentral:rRNA from 1 species
UACGUAGGGGGCGAGCGUUGUCCGGAUUUAUUGGGCGUAAAGAGCUCGUAGGCGGUUCGGUAAGUCGGAUGUGAAAUCUCCACGCUCAACGUGGAGGGGCCAUUCGAUACUGCCGUGACUCGAGUCCGGUAGGGGAGUGUGGAAUUCCAGGUGUAGCGGUGAAAUGCGUAGAUAUCUGGAGGAACACCGGUGGCGAAGGCGGCGUUCUGGACUGCAACUGACACUGAUGAACGAAAGCCAGGGGAGCAAACGGG